AUACGUAGGGGGCAAGCGUUAUUCGGAAUUACUGGGCGUAAAGCGCGCGUAGGCUGCGUCGCAAGUCAGUGGUGAAAUCCCGGGGCUUAACCUCGGAACUGCCAUUGAAACUGCGGCGCUAGAAUCUCAGAGGGGAUAGCGGAAUUCCAAAUGUAGGGGUGAAAUCCGUAGAUAUUGGGAAGAACACCGGUGGCGAAGGCGGCGAGCUGGUCCAUUACUGACGCUGAGGCACGAUAGCGUGGGGAGC
rnacentral:rRNA from 1 species